rfam:Gossypium raimondii chromosome 9, whole genome shotgun sequence.
GUUGUCUUAGCUUAGUUGGUAGAGCGUAUGGCUUUUAACUAUGUGGUUGUAGGUUUGAUUCCCGCAAACAACA